AUGGCUUCAGCAGCUGGUUCAGCUGGCCUCGCUCUCAAGGUGGCCGCCGUCGCUGCCGUCCUCGCCAUGCUGCUCCUACCUUCAUGCGGCCGCUGUCCGUCGCUGGGGCCGGCACCACCGCCGCCAGCGCAGGCGCCACCACCGCUCGCGCCGACACCGCCGGCGCCGGCGCCGUGGAACCCACCAUGCUCUCAGUCCCGGCGCCAGCAAUGCUACUCGGAUACGUAUCCGGCAUGCUAUUCGGCGUGCACAACCUCCAACCCAUGCACCGAAUGCGAAUUGCUUGGUGCUCUCUGCAGCAACUGCAGGAUCGCCGCGAAAGACAAGUGCACGGCCGACUGCACCGGCGGCGGCUGUGACUGCGCCGCCGCCGCCGCCGCCAGUGCGUGCCGCACCGACUGCGGAGUGAAUUAUGGGCGCUGCCACAGCUGCACGACCGCCGAGACCGACAAGUGCAACGCCAACUGCACCAGCGGCGGCAGCUGUGACUGCCACGGCGCCGCCAAGAGUGCAUGCCGCAACGAUUGUGCCGCCGAAACAUGUUACUCGUGCGCGCGCGCGCAACUGAAGAAUUGCGACACCGUUUGCUCGGCCGAGUGCAACAAGUGUUUUGCGCCCUAG
rnacentral:rRNA from 1 species